rnacentral:rRNA from 1 species
GACGAACGCUGGCGGCGUGCUUAACACAUGCCAGUCGAACGGAAAGGCCUGCUUUCCCUUGUGGAUUGCGAGUACUCGAGUGGCGAACGGGUGAGUAACACGUGAGUGAUCUGCCCCCAACUUGGGUAUAAGCCUGGGAAACUGGGUCUAAUUCCCGAUAGGACUGCAGGGUGGUGCCUGUGGUGGAAAACGAUUUUCUAGUGGUUGGGGAUGAGCUCGCGGCCUAUCAGCUUGUUGGUGGGGUAAUGGCCUACCAAGGCGGCGACGGGUAGCCGGCCUGGGAGGGUGGACGGCCACAUUGGGACUGAGAUACGGCCCAGACUCCUACGGGAGGCAGCAGUGGGGAAUAUUGCACAAUGGGCGGAAGCCUGAUGCAGCGACGCCGCGUGGGGGAUGACGGCCUUCGGGUUGUAAACUCCUUUCGACCGCGAGGAAGCCACCUGGUUGGAAGGGUGGUGACGGUAGUGGUAGAAGAAGCACCGGCUAACUACGUG